rnacentral:rRNA from 1 species
UACGUAGGGUGCAAGCGUUGCCCGGAUUUAUUGGGCGUAAAGGGCGCGUAGGCGGCUCGGCACGUCCGUUGUGAAAUCGCCCGGCUCAACUGGGCGGGGUCAGCGGAUACGGUCGAGCUUGAGCAAGCUAGGGGGCAAUGGAAUUCCCGGUGUAGUGGUGAAAUGCGUAGAUAUCUGGAGGAACACCGGUGGCGAAGGCGGCAUCCUGGACCGGCAUUGACGCUGAGGCGCGAAAGCUAGGGGAGCAAACGGG